ACGAACGCUGGCGGCGUGCUUAACACAUGCAAGUCGAACGGAAAGGCCCAGCUUGCUGGGUACUCGAGUGGCGAACGGGUGAGUAACACGUGGGUGAUCUGCCCUGCACUCUGGGAUAAGCCUGGGAAACUGGGUCUAAUACCGGAUAUGACCAACUGUCGCAUGGUGGUUGGUGGAAAGCUUUUGCGGUGUGGGAUGGGCCCGCGGCCUAUCAGCUUGUUGGUGGGGUAAUGGCCUACCAAGGCGACGACGGGUAGCCGACCUGAGAGGGUGAUCGGCCACACUGGGACUGAGACACGGCCCAGACUCCUACGGGAGGCAGCAGUGGGGAAUAUUGCACAAUGGGCGGAAGCCUGAUGCAGCGACGCCGCGUGAGGGAUGACGGCCUUCGGGUUGUAAACCUCUUUCACCAGGGACGAAGCGUGAGUGACGGUACCUGGAGAAGAAGCACCGGCCAACUACGUGCCAGCAGCCGCGGUAAUACGUAGGGUGCGAGCGUUGUCCGGAAUUACUGGGCGUAAAGAGCUCGUAGGCGGUUUGUCGCGUCGNCUGUGAAAUUCUGCAACUCAAUUGCAGGCGUGCAGGCGAUACGGGCAGACUUGAGUACUACAGGGGAGACUGGAAUUCCUGGUGUAGCGGUGAAAUGCGCAGAUAUCAGGAGGAACACCGGUGGCGAAGGCGGGUCUCUGGGUAGUAACUGACGCUGAGGAGCGAAAGCGUGGGUAGCGAACAGGAUUAGAUACCCUGGUAGUCCACGCCGUAAACGGUGGGUACUAGGUGUGGGUUCCUUUUCACGGGAUCCGUGCCGUAGCUAACGCA
rnacentral:rRNA from 1 species